AGAACGCGCUGUUACUGACGGAUAAUCGUGGGCUACCACGGGGAAGCAGCGUGAUACAAACCGCCGACCGUCUGGGCAAGCGCA
rnacentral:ncRNA from 2 species